UAUUGACCAGUCUGAGAUUUGGCCUUUUCUUUGCAACUCAGCCUAGAAGGCCAGCAUCCCGGAGUCACCUCUUCAAUGUUGAUAUUGGGACUGGUAUUUUGCGGGUACUAUUUAAUGAAACUGCCAGUUGAGAACAUCUGAGGCGUCUGUUUCUCAAACUAGACACAUGUAUUUUCCUCUUGCUAAGUUUUGGACCCAGGCUCCCACUCCUUUUUCUAUUCUGGAUAGAGACAGUGGACGCUGUUCUGUGAAAGAAGUAGUACACAGAGUGGUACAAGACCUUCAGUUUCCUGAAAUAGCCUUCAUUUCUCAGAACAAGAAUAGACUAAUGAGUUUCAGAAGAAAGUUCUUGGUAUCUGGUCAUUUUGAGCCUGUAAUCACUGAUGCUCCAGAUACUCAACCAGACAACAGAAGGACAGUUUUCUUGCUUCAUUAAACAGCACAACGGUUUUCAGCGGUGCUAACAUAAGCACAAAAGGGUUUUCUAAUGAUCAAUUAGCAUUUCAAAAUGAUUAACUUGUAUUAGCAAACACAACAUGCCAUUGGAACACAGGACUGGUGGGUGCUGAUAAUGGGCCUCUGUAUGCCUGUAUGUAGAGAUUCCAUUAAACAUAAUUUGCAUAGUCAUUUACUACAUCAACAGUGUCUACAUUGUAUUUCUGAUCAAUUUGAUGUUAUUUUAAUGGGCAAAAAUAUGCUUUGCUUUUGAAGACAUUUUUAAGUGACUCCAAACCUUUGAAUGGUAGUGUAACUAGAAAGCAAAAUACAUCUCAGAUAUUGAGAUUCUUCUAACCCUGGCACUGCAAGAGCCAGGAACUGUGUACCAACUGUGCAACAUGGGACAUGCCUGCCAAUGUAUUACCAUCAAGGAGAGUGUUUUGGGUGUGGCACAUAGAAAUUGUUAUUCAAAGGGCCUGCUGAACCAGAGAACAUUAGUCACAUGCAGCUGUGAUACGCUCUGCACACACACUCACUGAAAUACACACACAACACACACUCAAAAACGUGCACUAACACACACACUAAUCAAUUUUUUCUAACUCAGAUAUCCAGUUAAACAUGAUACUUAACAGAGCAGUUUCAAGGAUCCUUUCAUUGAUGGUUCUUCUGGCACUUUUAGAUGUUUGCAUUUGUUCAUAUCGACUCAAACUUUUCGAAUUACCUAAAGAGCACUUGACUGCAAAGGAAGGGUCCUGCAUUACAAUGGAAUGCACUGUCAAUGGGAUUAUAAAAGAUAAAAAAGAACCGCUAUGGUUUUGGAUGAAAAAUGCACAGUGGGAUGAUAAAAAACAAAAUUACAGCGGCACCAUAAUUGUAAGCAGUAAUCCUGAGGAUCAAACGCCAGCCUCAGACUUAGCACCCAGAGUGAAGUUCCUUGGGUCUCUAAAUUUUAAAUGGGCCAGAAAAGGUGACUCGUGUGGCCUGUUGAUCCACAACCUGCAGAAGACAGACAGUGGAAUCUACAAAUUCAGAUAUAAGGGAAAGGAAAAAUGGAUGACUGAACCAGGUCUGAAUCUUACUGUUGAAGAUGAGCCAUGCCGGGUUAAAGUUAACAACCAGCCAGUGUUCAAAGAGUCUGACAGCGUGACCAUUAAAUGCUCCACAUUUGGGUUAUGUGGAUCAUACCCAGAGGUCACAGGGCUUAGUCAAACCAUCCAACCUUCUCACAACGAAGAGGACAACAUUAAAAUCACUGAGGUCAGCUUUAAUGCUAGCUGGAUGGAUGAUGGGAGGGUGCUGUCCUGUCAACCACCGGGCACCAAAGAUAAUUGUAUGGUCAGGGACAUCAAGCUGACUGUUGAGUAUGCCCCCAAGGAGACCAUCUCCUGGAAAAGUUCCUCUGAUAUAAAGGAAGAUGACAACGUCAUUCUCACUUGUUCCAGCAGAGGGCACCCUAAUGCCACAUACUACUGGUAUAGAGAAAAUUCAUUAAUACAAAACAGUGAAGCAACGUUUAAGAUUUCUUCCAUCAAACCUGAGGACAGUGGGAAAUACCACUGUGAAGCUGUAAACAAACAUGGGACCAAUAAAUCAGAAGCUAUCACACUCAAUGUUAAAUAUGCUCCAAAAGGAGUAAGUGUGGUUACUGAUGACAUGACAACUCAGUACAAGGAAGGAAGCAAUUUCAAAUUAAUUUGUGAAGUGAAUAACGGCAAUCCAUCAGUUUACAUGUACUCCUGGUAUAAAGACAGUGAUAUGCUGACGGGCCACGAACGUACAUACAAUUUCACCAAACUAGAACCUGAACACACCGGAAAAUACCAGUGUGAGGGGACCAAUGAAGCAGGCUCCAGACGAUCACCAGAAUAUCAGAUAAAUGUUCAAUAUGUUCCCAGAAACACUUACAUCGCUCGGAGUGGAGGAAGCCAGGUGGAGGUGGGCUCUUCGUUGUCAAUGACCUGUGUAGCCGAAGCCUAUCCUGCCCCCAGUGGCUACACCUGGUACUACAGGAGAGGAGGACAGUACCAAUGGACGGAACUCUCACAAACAGGCUGGACACUAAGCUGGGAAAAAGUGGACUUAGAAACACACGGGUGUUACAUGUGUAGUGUCACCAAUGACAUCGGCACAGGACAGCAAAGUAGCCAAUCAUGCAUUGAUGUUCUCUUUUCUCAGGAAGACCCAGACAACUCAGGGGUGGCUUCAGGACAAUUCUGCAAAUGUCUUGGAGUGGCCCAGCCAGAUCCCAUACCCAACCCUGUUCAAACAUCUCUGUAAGGAACUGAAUGGAUGUGAAGUAAUAGUUCCCAUCCAACCAGCUUGAGAGGAUCUGCAGACAAGAAUGAGAGAAUCUCCCCAAAUACAGGGGUGUCAAGUUUCAAACCCAAGAGGACUUGAGACUGCCAAAGAUGCUUUAACCAAGGGGUCUGAUUGAAGUGUUCUGAAUACUUACAUGGUCUCAGGAUAUUUUAGCCCAAAACCUGGUUGCCCAGCCUGCCAGGACAUUGAGACUUGACCAUGGAUGGAUCAUCCAACGUCUCCAGUGUUUUAAGUAUAUGCAAACAACAUAUUAGUGUACAAGAGUUGAAUAAUGUAAUUACAUUGAGUUUCCUGAUUGCCCUGUUAAAACAGAUGAAGACAGUAACAACAAAAAUGUUGCUUUUGAUAUUUUAUUUUUUACCCAGUUUAGAAGGCACAUUUAAACAAUUGCAGAUCACAUGAAGAAGAAUUCCGGAUGUCCCCUUGUGUCCUGAGAGGACAGGAUAUUGAUAGUUGAAUCUAAAAUUAAAUAGGCUAUUUGGCUUGUAAGAGAUUGUAAGUCCUCUUAGACCUGCUUCACUCUAGUCACAACCUAAGUGUUGCAGAAGUUUUUGUUUUAUUAUCCUGAACCAUGUUGACAUACAGUAGUGAUCAUUAUAAAUAAUGUUUAUUUCUAGAGCACUUUCAUUACAAUGCUAAUUAUUUUGCCAAGCUUACAAUCAAAAUUGUAGUAACUUUAAGUGUGUCCCAAUUGCAAUGUUAACCCUUAUGCAUACUGUAGACAAUAUAGGAGUAAAGUUUUAUUAAAUUCAUAAAGUGCUUUUCAUGACAACACAUUUGUAAUUUUGUAUUUUUUAACCCGGACGCAAAAAGAUCCUUGCAGCAGAUAAAAACUAAACAUAAGAACAUCAUAAAAACAAGUGAAUUAUUAGUUGGAAUAAAUCACAAGGCAAUACAAAGAGUUUGUAUAUUACUCACAGCAAAACCACAUUCGGUCACCCAUCUGUGAUUGUAUACAUUUUCAGUGAAGGAGAUGUUACUAGUAUUAAAAUCAAUGUGUUGUACUUUGCUCAGUUAUUAAUUGGUAGUUAUAUACAUUUAAUAAUGUUACAGAACAAUAACUUUUGUCGAUAUCCAGACUCGACCCUGGUUAGAAACUCAGACAAAGUAUUGAGAUGGUAAGUGAAAACAAUCUCAUGGAAGUGAAACUUUGAAUACUGAGUUAUGGGUGCACUUUAUUUUGAGCGCCUGAAUGCCAUCUGUAGUUGCUCUGGUUUUUGAUAAUUCGUUGAUAGUAUGAAAAGCAACUGCUUGCUAAUGUUUGGAUUAAGUUUAUGGUAAGAGUUAAAGUUAAGGUUAGGAUAUUGGUAAAGGUCAAGUUAGGGUCUUGUAAUAUACAGUAUAUUAGUAAUUAGUCAGUAGAUUGUAGACUUUUGGGACUCCCCAAAUAAAGUGGUACCUCCAUAAUAAGUAAAAAGAAAAAGAGAAUUAUUUAAAUUUCAGCCUGUUCACACAGUAUUUUACUCCACUUCACAACAUAUCACACCGUGAUCUCAU